AGCAGCAAACAAAAAUCCAUUCAAAAUUAAAAGCCGGGUGGAUCAGAGGUGCUUGUGGAAAUGUUCAACCCUGUUCCUUCAAUAGACUUCUGCAGCCUUAGUUCCAAACCCACAACGCGUGAUCUCUGUAUCUGUGUGCUGCCAGGACAUAUGUGAACAUUCCAUAAAAUUCCUCAGCUCAGGCAUAACACCAACAUGUAUUUUGAAUUGCAUUUCAUGUGCAUUCAAAUGAGAACAUUUUUGGACUGGAUUGUGCCAGAUGUGCCAGAACAUUUGGUUGUUUUCUUUUGAUUUUGAAGAACAGGGUCUCACUAAGUAACCCUUGCUGUCCGGGAAUUCACAGAGAUCCACCCAUCUCUGCCUACUGAGUGCUAAGAUUAAGGGGGUAUAUUUAUCACCACACACAGCAGAGUAUAGAUUUUUUCUUAAGCUGCAGUCCGAGUUCUUGACUUACAGUUUAUAUUUAAAAAAAAAAAAAAACCCUAUUGUAAUGGUGUAAUGGUUUGUAUAUGCCCAGGGAGUGGCACUACUAGAGGGUGUGGCCCUGUUGGAGUAGGUGUGUCACUGUGGGCAUGGGCUUUGUCCUAGCUUCCUGGAAACCAGUAUUCUACUAACAGCCUUCAGAUGGUGAAGAACUCUCAGCUCCUCCUGCACCGUGCCUGCCUGGAUGCUGCCAUGCUCCUGCCUCAGUGAUAUGGACUGAACCUCUGAACCUAUUAGGACAGAAUUUCCAGCUGUUUCUGAAAUGAUCCUAAAUGGACUGCCAUUCGGUACUGCUGAUUUAUGCAAAGAGGCAUUGACCCUCAUAGACCCAAAAUAUCAAUCAACUCUGAAAAACGAAAAUGUUAUGUGCCCUGCAACAUCAAACAUUCAGCCAAGACUUAAUUCCUUGUGUUGAAAUAAACAAGUAUGCUCUUCUCAUUAGU
rnacentral:lncRNA from 1 species